UAGUCUAGUGGUUGAGGCUACGGAUCGCCAAUCCGGAGAUGGCGGGUUCGAUUCCCGU
rfam:Aedes albopictus isolate Foshan contig18952, whole genome shotgun sequence.